AGCAGCCGCGGUAAUUCCAGCUCCAAUAGCGUAUAUUAAAGUUGUUGCAGUUAAAAAGCUCGUAGUUGAAUUUCGGGGUCAGCAGGUUGGUCGUGCCACCGGUAUGCACUGGCCUUGCUGAUUCCUCCCUCUUGUAGAACCGUAAUGCCAUUAAUUUGGUGUUGCGGGGAAACAGGACUGUUACUUUGAAAAAAUUAGAGUGUUUAAAGCAGGCUAACGCCUGAAUACAUUAGCAUGGAAUAAUGAAAUAGGACGUUCGAUCCUAUUUUGUUGGUUUCUAGGGUUGACGUAAUGAUUAAUAGGGACAGUUGGGGGCAUUAGUAUUCAAUUGUCAGAGGUGAAAUUCUUGGAUUUAUUGAAGACUAACUACUGCGAAAGCAUUUGCCAAGGAUGUUUUCAUUAAUCAAGUAAC
rnacentral:rRNA from 1 species